CCUCCCUGGAUAGCCUUAUCCUCCCUCCCCCCGAAAAGGGCAAGUCUCUCUCUCUCUGAUAUUCUGACUACAUAUCUUCUAGUUGUUACCACUCCGUUCUCUAGCUCUUUCCGUCUCUUUUCAUACCACCUCUCUUUCAACAAGGUGAGAAAGCUAUCAAAAAAAAGGAAAACAAGGUCCUUCACAUUUGUUGGAUGGAGCACGUAAAAUCCCAUCAACUCCUCUUUCUAAGCUCUAUUCCUCACUUGCAAGUGUUCUGCCCCGGGCUCACUUCAGUGAAGAAGGUCAACCAUGAUACCAAGGUUGCCAUGACAAAUUUUGCGAGAAUUGGGAUAGAUGGUAGUGGGAUGCUCGACUUCCUCGGGGACUUCAUCUUUUGGAGCAGAAGGUUUUCAUUUGAACCAUCCGAGGUUCCUUGUUUUUAAUGCCUUGACGGUGCUAUCCUACCUGUGCUUUUCCCUCAACCUCCACAUCUACCCCUAUCCUUCUUCACACACUUAACACCUCUUCUCCUCUCGCAGCCUUGCAAGUUUUGGGUCUUCUUGACCUUGUAAGACCUUUUCUUGACCUUGUAAGGCCCUACUCUCGGUUGGUUAUUCUCGUCUCCUUCCCUACCACGAGCCUCCUCCUUGCCCUCAUUGACGAAGCCUGGAUCUCUAUAUUCCUCCCUUCUCGGCCACCUCUUGCUCUCCUUUCCUGUCUAUCCCUUCUGAGCUGUUAGGAAUAAAAAUAUGGGCAUGCAACAUGGUAUUCACAUCACAGUAUGUAAUAUAUGUACAGUUUAAAGAAAUAUAAUCCCAUGGUUUAUCAGAA